rnacentral:rRNA from 1 species
CCUACGAGUGGCAGCAGUGGGGAAUAUUGCACAAUGGGGGAAACCCUGAUGCAGCGACGCCGCGUGAGUGAAGAAGUAUUUCUGUGUUUAAAGCUCUGUCAGCAGGGAAGUAAAUGACGGUACCUGACCAAGAAGCCCCGGCUAACUACGUGCCAGCAGCCGCGGUAAUACGUAGGGGGCAAGCGUUAUCCGGAUUUACUGGGUGUAAAGGGAGCGUAGACGGCAGGGCAAGUCUGGAGUGAAAGGCGGGGGCUCAACCCCCGGACUGCUCUGGAAAAUGCCAGGCUGGAGUGCAGGAGAGGUAAGUGGAAUUCCUAGUGUAGCGGUGAAAUGCGUAGAUAUGAGGAGGAACACCAGUGGCGAAGGCGGCUUACUGGACUGUAACUGACGUUGAGGCUCGAAAGCGUGGGGAGCAAACAGGAUUAGAUACCCUUGUAGUC